GCGGAAUGUGUAAUGUAGCGGUGAAAUGCAUAGAUAUUACCCAGAACACCGAUUGCGUAGGCAGCUUACCAGCCUGGAACUGACGCUGAUGCACGAAAGCGUGGGGAGCGAACAAGGAUUAGAUACCCUGGUAGUCCACGCCGUAAACGAUGAUCACUCGCUGUUGGCAAUAUAGAAUCAGCGGCUGAGCGAAAGCAUUAAGUGAUCCACCUGGGGAGUACGUCGGCAACGAUGAAACUCAAAGGAAUUGACGGGGGCCCGCACAAGCGGUGGAACAUGUGGUUUAAUUCGAUGAUACGCGAGGAACCUUACCUGGGCUUAAAUGUAGCCGGACGAUUCCGGAAACGGGAUUUCCUUAACGGCUGGUUACAAGGUGCUGCAUGGCUGUCGUCAGCUCGUGCCGUGAGGUGUCGGGUUAAGUCCCAUAACGAGCGCAACCCUUAUUCUUAGUUGCCAGCGGGUAGAGCCGGGGACUCUAAGGAGACUGCCACCGUAAGGUGUGAGGAAGGUGGGGAUGACGUCAAGUCAGCACGGCCCUUACGUCCAGGGCUACACACGUGUUACAAUGGCCGGUACAGAAGGCAGCANACUUGAGAGAGGGCGCGAAUCCAUGAAAGCCGGUCUCAGUUCGGAUUGGAGUCUGCAACCCGACUUCAUGAAGUUGGAAUCGCUAGUAAUCGCGCAUCAGCAACGGCGCGGUGAAUACGUUCCCGGGCCUUGUACACACCGCCCGUCAAGCCAUGAAGCCGGGGUACCUGAAGUCCGUA
rnacentral:rRNA from 1 species